AGCAGCCGCGGUAAUUCCAGCUCCAAUAGCGUAUAUUAAAGUUGUUGCAGUUAAAAAGCUCGUAGUUGAAUUUCGGGAUCAAUAUGUCGGUCGUGCCUUCGGUACGCACUGGUAUCAUUGGUCUCUCCUUUCUGACGAACCAUGAUGUCAUUAAUUUGGUGUUAUGGGGAGUUAGGACUGUUACUUUGAAAAAAUUAGAGUGUUUAAAGCAGGCUUUAGCUUGAAUACAUUAGCAUGGAAUAAUGAAAUAGGACGUUCGAACCUAUUUUGUUGGUUUCUAGGAUCAACGUAAUGAUUAAUAGGGAUAGUUGGGGGCAUUAGUAUUCAAUUGUCAGAGGUGAAAUUCUUGGAUUUAUUGAAGACUAACUACUGCGAAAGCAUUUGCCAAGGAUGUUUUCAUUAAUCAAGAACGAAAGUUAGGGGAUCGAAGACGAUCAGAUACCGUCGUAGUCUUAACCAUAAACUAUGUCGACUAGGGAUCGGAUGAUGUUUAUUUUUUAAUGACUCA
rnacentral:rRNA from 1 species